rnacentral:tRNA from 1 species
AAAACACUAAGUUAAUCAAACUCUAGGUUUUCAAAACCUAAAAUGAAUUAUUAUUAUUCGUGUUUUA